rnacentral:lncRNA from 1 species
UUUACGAUAUGUGGAUUGGUCGAUUGCUUGAUGAGACUGUCACUUAUCUUGCCGUGAGUAUAGAGAUUGAUAUUGUAUGAUGAGAGUUGGCUUGUGAUGGGCAGUAUUGCUUGAUGAGAUCACCGUUUACUUUGCAUUUGGAGUACAGUUGGUGCAUGAUUCUAGAGGGUUGAUGUGGUUAUGUCAGUUGGACAUCGAUCUUUAGUAUUGAUUAUUUGAGGGCUUGAGAGCACGAUGUAUGAGACCGUGGUCGUAGGAUGGGUGGCCUU